rnacentral:snRNA from 1 species
AUCGCUUCUUGGCCUUUUGGCUAAGAUCAAGUGUAGUAUUUGUUCUUACCAGUUUACUAUCUGAUAUGUCCUCUAUCCUAUGUAGAACCUUUCUGAACAAGUAAUAAAAUAUAUUUGUUAAUAGGUAUUAGAAAUUACUCCUGGCUCUGUUAAUUCUAGCAUGGCUGCCCAGCCCCA